GCCUAUUUAAAGAAAACUAGUAGUUUAACUGAAUUUUCAAUAUGCUCUCAACUCAUCAAUUCUAUCAAUUGAAUUCCCAUACUUUCUUAGUGAAGUAAUGCAGCUUCUAUAAUGAAGCAGGUAAAGGUGACAUUCAGCAUUAUGGUAUGCGUUGUCAUGCGACUACCUAAUUUUUGGACACAAGCUUUUUUUUUCGCCCCACCUCAUCCCUCCCUUGCCAAUUUUUCUCUUUCCUUGCGUUUUUAGGCCUUUUUCCUACCUCUAAUUAAAUCUUUCAACCUUAACCUUAAUCUCCUCCUCCUUCACCUUCUUCCAGGGGCAGAGCUAAGGCUUCACUGGUGGGAUCAAUUGGCCCCACUGAAAUUUCUAAAGUUUUAGUAGUUUUAUUAAAAUUGUGUGUGUGUGUGUGUGU
rnacentral:misc_RNA from 1 species